GAUCCUGGCUCAGGAUGAACGCUGGCGGCGUGCCUAACACAUGCAAGUCGAACGGUACUUUUCAUGAAGCCUAGCGAUUAGAAAAGUUAGUGGCGGACGGGUGAGUAACGCGUGGGUAACCUGCCUUGUACGUGGGGGACAACAGUUGGAAACGACUGCUAAUACCGCAUAAGCGCACAGCUUCGCAUGAAGCAGUGUGAAGAACUCCGGUGGUACAAGAUGGACCCGCGUCUGAUUAGCUUGGG
rnacentral:rRNA from 1 species